rnacentral:rRNA from 1 species
UACGUAGGUGGCAAGCGUUGUCCGGAUUUACUGGGCGUAAAGGAUGCGUAGGCGGACAUUUUAAGUCAGAUGUGAAAUCCCCAGGCUUAACCUGGGAACUGCAUUCGAGACUGCAUUGCUAGAGUAUGGGAGAGGGAAGUGGAAUUUCCGGUGUAGCGGUGAAAUGCGUAGAUAUCGGAAGGAACAUCAGUGGCGAAAGCGACUUCCUGGACCAAUACUGACGCUCAUGUGCGAAAGCGUGGGGAGCAAACAGG